GAUGAACGCUGGCGGCGUGCUUAACACAUGCAAGUCGAACGGAAAGGCCAGUGCUUGCACUGGUACUCGAGUGGCGAACGGGUGGGUAACACGUGGGUGAUCUGCCCUGUACUUCGGGAUAAGCUUGGGAAACUGGGUCUAAUACCGGAUAGGACAACUUUUUGGAUAUUGUUGUGGAAAGCUUUUGCGGUAUGGGAUGAGCUCGCGGCCUAUCAGCUUGUUGGUGGGGUAAUGGCCUACCAAGGCGUCGACGGGUAGCCGGCCUGAGAGGGUGUACGGCCACAUUGGGACUGAGAUACGGCCCAGACUCCUACGGGAGGCAGCAGUGGGGAAUAUUGCACAAUGGGCGCAAGCCUGAUGCAGCGACGCCGCGUGGGGGAUGAAGGCCUUCGGGUUGUAAACUCCUUUCGCUAGGGACGAAGCGCAAGUGACGGUACCUGGAGAAGAAGCACCGGCUAACUACGUG
rnacentral:rRNA from 1 species